rnacentral:rRNA from 1 species
GGAUGAGGCCUUCCGCGUUGUCAACCUCUUUCAGUAGGGAAGAAGCGACUUGGGUUCUUUCAGACGUGACGGUAUCUGCAGAAGAAGCGCCGGCUAACUACGUUCCAGCAAGUCGCGGUAAUACGUAGGGCGCAAGCGUUGUCCGGAAUUAUUGGGCGUAAAGAGCUCGUAGGCGGUUUGUCGCGUCUGGUGUGAAAACUCAAGGCUCAACCUUGAGCUUGCAUCGGGUACGGGCAGACUAGAGUGUGGUAGGGGUGACUGGAAUUCCUGGUGUAGCGGUGGAAUGCGCAGAUAUCAGGAGGAANNNNNAUGGCGAAGGCAGGUCACNNNNNNNNNUACUGACGCUGAGGAGCGAAAGCAUGGGGAGCGAACAGGAUUAGAUACCCUGGUAGUCCAUGCCGUAAACGUUGGGCACUAGGUGUGGGGCUCAUUCCACGAGUUCCGCGCCGCAGCUAACGCAUUAAGUGCCCCGCCUGGGGAGUACGGCCGCAAGGCUAAAACUCAAAGGAAUUGACGGGGGCCCGCACAAGCGGCGGAGCAUGCGGAUUAAUUCGAUGCAACGCGAAGAACCUUACCAAGGCUUGACAUACACCGGAACCGGCCAGAGAUGGUCGCGUCUUCGGACUGGUGUACAGGUGGUGCAUGGUUGUCGUCAGCUCGUGUCGUGAGAUGUUGGGUUAAGUCCCGCAACGAGCGCAACCCUCGUCCUAUGUUGCCAGCACGUCAUGGUGGGGACUCAUAGGAGACUGCCGGGGUCAACUCGGAGGAAGGUGGNGACGACG